UACUUGAAAGGUGUCGUGCACUCCAGUUCUCAGACUGAAACAGUGCAGAAAUACAAGAUUCUCUGUGGUGGCUCAAUUGCAGUGAAGAAUUGCCAGAAAUGGUUAACAGAAAACAGGCAUGAAUUGAAUUUUUGGUUGUUUCGUGGAGGAUUUGCUAAGCUUUUACCUAUUUCUCAUGUUUAUACUGUAUGCUGCCCAGUUGAUGAUGGCCAUGUUUCAAAUGUCAGCAACACUCAUCCAACUCAAAGGUUCAGGUUUGCAUAUCACAGUGGAGAUACUGGAGACUAACGGACAGUGAAUUGUGCUUGAUUAACAGUGUGAAAUAAAGCUUUUUGGAAUGACUAAGCUGAUAGAUAU
rnacentral:lncRNA from 1 species